GCCACGUUGCGCAUGAUGCAGGCGGCAACUAAUUAACGCCAUGGUUGGCCUGGUCAUGCAUGGGGCGUGUGCAUACUAGUCGCGUCUUCUUUUGUGUGUGUACGGACUGUAACUGUCGGCGGCAACUGGGCCGUGGAACUACCGACAAGGCGGCUGCAUCAACUACAAUUCAUCGAGGCCCACCGACGUUACUCCGGGCUUCAUCGUCGGCAUCAAACAUAUUGGGAGCUUCUGAACCUUCGAUCGCGCCGGGUGCACUCGGUGUUCGAUGGAGGAUGGCCUUACACGUCCAGCACAUGCCUUUGAGAAAGCUACUACUCCUGAUGUCCCUGCAGCCACAGUGUACCUUCACCCUUGAAGAUUCGGCUUCACGUUCCUUUAUCACUUCCUUGCCUCCUCUGCAAUUCGUCGUGCAGGGAAGCCAACCACUGCAGCGUGCUCUUCAGUCUUCACUCCAUGUAAGAACUCCAUUCCGCUGUGCUUCUGGUCACCACUCUGAGGACCACUACCGGAUCUACUACUGUCGAUGUACUGCUGCUUUUGCUGCCU